GGACUUGUGGCGCACGGGUAACGCCCCUGACUACAGAUCAGGAGAUUCCAGGUUCGAAUCCUGGCUGGUUCG